rnacentral:rRNA from 1 species
GAAUUGACGGGGGCCCGCACAAGCAGUGGAGUAUGUGGUUUAAUUCGAAGCAACGCGAAGAACCUUACCAAGGCUUGACAUAAUAGUGAAUACGAUAGAGAUAUCGUAGUCCUUCGGGACACUAUUACAGGUGGUGCAUGGUUGUCGUCAGCUCGUGUCGUGAGAUGUUGGGUUAAGUCCCGCAACGAGCGCAACCCCUGUUGCUAGUUGAUAACAUUCAGUUGAUCACUCUAGCGAGACUGCCGGUGAUAAAUCGGAGGAAGGUGGGGACGACGUCAAAUCAUCAUGCCCCUUAUGUCUUGGGCUACACACGUACUACAAUGGCUAUAACAGAGGGAAGCUAAGCUGCAAAGUGGAGCAAAUACCCCAAAAUAGUCCCAGUUCAGAUUGUGGGCUGCAACCCGCCCACAUGAAGUCGGAAUUGCUAGUAAUGGCAGGUCAGCAUACUGCCGUGAAUACGUUCCCGGGCCUUGUACACACCGCCCGUCACACCAUGAGAGUCUGCAACACCCGAAGUCGAUAGUCUAACCGUAAGGAGGACGUCGCCGAAGGUGGGGCCGAUGAUUGGGGUGAAGUCGUAACAAGGUAGCCGUAUCGGAAGGUGCGGCUGGAUCACCUCCUUUCUG